rnacentral:lncRNA from 1 species
GGGAUGUAACCCGCUGCUGAGCUGGCAGCUCUGUGUCGCUAGGCUUCGGCCCGGCCGCCGCCGCACAUAAGCUGCGAGGAGGAGCUUUACGACUUCCCGGUCUUCGGGGCCGGGCGCAGCAAGGGCCAGACUCUGCGCUAGCAGGCGCUGCGCGCCAACCGGCCGGCACCUGUCGCAGAAGGUGCAACCGAUCGCACUGUCGCGCCGAAGCUCCUCAAUGGCCAGCGCCAGCUGCAGCCCCGGCCGCCCACUCGCCUCACCUGAGCCUGGGCGAAUCUGGAUUGGGAAAGUUGACAUUAAUCAACUCAUUAUUCCUCCCAGAUUUGUAUUCUCCAGAGUAUCCGGGUCCUUCUCAGAGAAUUAAAAAGCCUGUACAGGAGCUUGAAAAAUCACAUUUGAGAAGAGGAUUGGAUCCUAGCCAUAACAUAAAUAUAAGGGUGGAACCAAAGUUUUAAUCAAAGAAGGUGGUGUUCAGUUGCUGCUUACAAUAGUUGAUACCCCAGGAUUUGGAGAUGCAGUGGAUAACAGUAAUUGCUGGCAGCCUGUUAUCAAUUACAUUGAUAUUAAAUUUGAGGACUACCUAAAUGCAGAAUCGCGAGUGAACAGAUGUCAGAUGCCUGGUAACAGGGUGCAGUGUUGUUUAUACUUCAUUGCUCCUUCAGGACAUGGACCAUUACAUAACUGAAGACUCCCACCUUCAGGCAGGAUUGGGUAGUACGUGUUUGUAACUACCUGGCAUUGCCUUUUGUUGAGGAAGGGUAGAUGUCUACCCAAAUGGAAUAUUGAGUAUCAGAGACUUCAAAUGAUAACUUUUGUUUGUUUGGAGAAAAUCUUGAGGACGUGAUCACUGUACAAAAGCAUGGCAAAAUGAGGAAACCACUGACAGGUGAAGAAUUUGCACAAUGGAAAACCACCUUGACCAUCUCAUGACUUUAUACAGGAAUCGGAGACAUCCAAGGCCAUUCCAUUUCUAAAUCACACUUAUCCCUCAAUCAAGUCAGUGACUGGAUCAUCUCCUAAGGUUUCACCUGCUUUGCAUCAGUGAGUUGGACUAUGGAUCAGGUACUGUGCUCAGCAUCAGAAAAUGGGAUGACAAUGAACAGAGUAACAGGACUAUAUUUCUGAAAAAGGAUGAACUUACUGGAAACAGGAUUGCGUGCCUGAAAUAUAUCCAAAUGGAUAUAAAUGUCAACUCAGUUCUGGGCUGGAGAUAUAGAUUUGGAAUGCACCAACAAUGCAGAUGGUAAUCCUGGCAUGCGAGUAGGUGAGAUCAUCCAGGGAGAUGGCCUAUAAUGAGAGCCUACAACAUGUCAGAUUCUGUUCACUCUCUGCUAUCAGUUGCUGUGUCCUUAAGGAAUGCAGACAAUGUUAAUUCAAGCAAAACAAUAGAAAGAAAAUGAUUUGAAAUGAAAACUUGGCUUUAAAAAGUUACAUAAUAUACUCUCAAGCUAAAUAUAGGUUAUUUUUUAGUA